AUACUGUCAAAGGACAAACACAUAUGCACAGUCCAUAAAACAGGCAAUAUUCAUCAGAAUAAACAUGUUUUUAAAAUACUAUCUGCCAAACUCCCAAUCACAAGGGAUUAACCCUUCAUUAGGUUAUGAAAAAACAACAACGUAAAGACUGCCAGUGCAUUCUUUAGAGAUAAAAGUGUUACACAUUUAUUCAUUUAUUUAACCUUUAUAUAUCCAGAUAAGUCGAUUGAGAACUCAUUCUCAUUCACGACAAUCUGGUCAAGAGGCAGCAGCAACAGACACACAGUUAGCUUUACGCCAAAGAAAAACAAGACAAAAACAUACAAGAUCAAAAUAAGAUAAAACAGUUAGAAAUAAAGGCAAAGGAUUGUUCUCAUUUACAAUAUAAGCAAUCAAAACAGACUGAAAACAGUCUUUAGUUACUCAGAAGCAGUCACAUUGAUCAGAAACUAUUAUUGAAGGUAGAUGAUGGAAUGCAGGUAGUGAGUUAAGUGAUUUUUGCAGCUCAUUCCAGUCGUUGGAAGCAUCAAACUGGAAUGAGGAGCGGCCAUAGGAGAUGCAAGCCUUGGGAAUAACCAUAGAGAUUACGUUACUGGACUGUAAAUUGCGCUGGUGGUUGGAAGUGAUGAGUAAUGAGUGAAGAUAAGACAGUGUUCUACCGAUGAUUGUUUUGUAUAUGAACUGAUACCAAUGUAGCAAUAGAGUGAUGUCCAUUUUCAGCUUAACGAAUUAGAUGGAGGAUAUUUAUGGGCUAAAAUUAGGUUCACUCACAAUUAAUGCGAAGUUUGAAUUACAAAUGAAGCUUUGUCACCUUGUAACAUGAAAUUCAAGUUUUAUUUAUGGUUACGAAAAAGAAUUUUGAAAAAAGUGGCUGCGUAAAAAAUGAGAAUAUAGAUGUGUUUUUGUGAGUAUUAUCCAAGCCCCCAUAAUGUGGGUGUGGAAAUGAAGCAAAACAGGAAGUGACAAAAAUUGCAGUUCCACCCUCAUCCGCUGGGGGCUAGUAUCAGAAGCGAGCAAAUCCUCAAUGACUCCCAUGUUAAAAAUACCAAUUUCACAGCAGAAAUAAACAUGUUUACAGCCUGGUACCAAAACUUGUUUUAGGUUCAAUAGAUCUAGAUUACACUCAUGACAACUCUGAGGGGGUGAAUUUUUUUGUCACUCUUCUGUUUAAGUGUAUUAAAAGCCUAAAAUUCUGUAUAAUUAAUAAGCAUCCAACCCACGUGAACACAGAGCUAGCUCUGGGGAAAGGCCUUAUGGGCUCGACACACGGGAGGCGACAUCACCUCUCCUCCAUUCAUUUUCAAUGAGACAUGCGCAACAAAGCGAUAAUCGCGGGUCUCCCUCCUACCAAGCGAAAUGCAAAAAACGUGCGUGUGAAAUUUUGCGCUCAUGCACGUGUCGUGCACAGGCGUCCCAGCGACGCAAUCCCAGAAAGAUGAAACAUUUUCAACUUUUCAUCGCUGUCGCUCGGACGAGGACCAAUCAACGGAGGUUUCAUUCACUGACCAACGAGCGGACAGGAUGCUCCGCACAUCUCCGAGCAAACAUGGAGGAGAAGUUGAUUAUUAUUAUGUUUUAUAUAGUAAAAUCACAAGUAAGAUUUCACAUAACUCUAGCAGCACCUUGUGAAACAUCAUAUCUACCACUUUAUUAACUCUGAGCCGCUUAAAUAACCUUAAUUCCCUCCAACCUGACACAGCCAAACAAAACAACGGAAGUUUCAAUUUCGCCAUGGAACAGAACGCGUAGACGGUUUUGCCGCUGGCCGCGGGUCGCCUCCCGUGUGUCAGGUAAUAAAAGCGACAGCGACAAAUUUUGCUGAUCGCGGUCAUUUGUCGCCUCCCGUGUGUCGAGCCCAUUAGUCUGAGCCUUGGCCUCGUCUGAAAACUGUUCCGCGAUUUUUAGUCCCUCAACUUAGACCACUAGUUGUAGCAUUUGUGUAUUCAUUUUGGAUAUUAUUUGUGCAAUUGUUGGACAAAAUGACUUGCUGUGGCAUUAAUUGCACUAAUGGAGCAUCCAAGAAGUCUCCACUUCAUUUUUUUCGAUACGUAAAAUUAUAUUUAUGUAUGUAUGUCGAUGAUUUUAGGUCACUGCCGCUCUUGCACCAACUGAGCUUAGAUUUUAACAUGUACUGUUUAACCAUGAAAUUUAAAUGUAAUAGGGUGAAACCCAGUGCAUAACGCUGCAUUUUUGAAAAUGGGUUGAAAUAUAACAUGUUGGUGGAGCUGGGUUCCGACUAUCAGCAUGGUCCCCUCCCCUCAGCGGCAGCUUGGCGCAUCUCUGACCGCAGCAGUGCCUGUCUGCUGUGCGGGCUGCCGGCUUGUGGAGCUCUCAGAUGGAAGCCGAUGUUUUCCACCCGGUUCUCCCCAGUGGCAGCUCGGCGCAUCUCUGAUCACAGCGGCGCCUGUCUGCUGUGCGGCUGCCAGCUUGUGGAGUUCUCGGGAGACCUCUGUGUUCCACCAGGUUUUACCCAGUGGUCAGCCUGGUGCAUCUCUGACUCAAAAGCUCUGGUGUUGAGCACAGUUAACUCCGGUUGUAGCUAGGUAGCUACCUCCGUUAGCUUAGCUCCCACCUCCGCCUUAGCUUUGUGUUAGCUUUUAGCUACAUGCUUCAGUUCGACGAGUGUCGUCAUUUGAUCCCAACCUUACAGCCCCACCCUCAGCUCCACCGUUUUUCCUUUUUUUGGAAUUGUCUGGGCUUGACGGAACCUGUGACACGGUCAAAAUGGCGGAGGUGGGAACUUUUGGCACAAAAACUUAUAAUUGGAGCCUAUGCACACUGAUUGUCCAGUAUAUAUGUUGAUAGUAUUAUCUGGCCAACAAGUAUUGAAGAAAUGAGUAAGAGUUCAGCUCAGUUUUUGACAGCAGGGUCUUAGCCAAUUACGAUACUGGCUACAUCGUGUAAUCCAACCUACGCACAAACACAGCAGUGACAGGACAUGCAGGUGAAGAUCAAACUCUGUAAGAGUAACAAGGGUUUGAGAUGCACCAACAUGCAGGAGAUCCAAGGGUAUGUCCACAGAGAUCUGAUGAUGAAAGCCCAUCAUAUCAAGAUUGAAGAAGCUUUUAAUGUCAUUGAACCAGCAUCCAAGUACAAUGAGAUUACAGUUUCAGAACAACCCUCUCACAUUUGGACAUACACAGACUCAACAUAACAGAGUCAGGCUGAACUGUGGGCAGGUGCAUUUAUAGCAGUCCCAUUUGCAGGAGUGAAACAAGAUAAGAGAAAAAACCAACAAGAAGAGGGGGUAUGAGGGAGAAAAAGCAUGUCCCUUCACCCUGUUCCUAACCCAGGAGCAGCACUGGAGAUUCAGGAAAAAUCUUUAUAAGAACAUAAAUUGAACAGUCACAAACAUAAAUCCACAGUAGGCGAGGGCUGGGGAGCCCUCCAUUCAACCGAGAGUAUUUGCAGUGUAGCGCAGCCUCAUCUCCCACUUUCCGGAACAGGGAGCCAGAUUCAGAUAGCAUUUAUUGUUUAGGAGCAGGCCAGAGAUAAAGUUUUCCUCUGCCUUACAGUCUUACUGGUCACAGGAGAAUCCAAUCAGCCACUUCCAGGAAUCCAGAAUGAAUCCUACUGGGUAUGUUCUGUUAGGGCAUGUUGGAGGUACCUUCUCCAUUCUGAAUGUUGUGAAAAUUUAAUCAAUAGCUGUCAGCGACCUGUUAACCAGAUCAAUCAUUUUCAAAUUUAAUUACAGAAACAAUCCAUAGAGUUGCUUUCAGAAGAGAGACAGGACAAAGCCUUGGGAAGACAAGGACAGGCAGACAUCAUAGCUGGAAAGUAGGCAUGGAUCAAUACCUGAGCAGGGCUCAGAAGCUAAUUGAAAGCUGGUCAACAGAAUCAUUGUGCCUGAUUGACUAGACACACAAACCUGUGCACUAACUACAACAAGGCCUAUGACUCAAAUAGAGCUGCAUGAUGUAGCGUGAUGAAUUGUCCAUUUCUGACCUAAAAGGCCCUGAAGUGUUUUGCUGUUUCCCGAAGAAGCUGCGGGAACUACUAUGUUGUCGCUUGUGAUCACAGCCGGCAGGCAGCAAGGAGGAGCAGGCAGGGCAAGGGGAAGUUACAGCAUAAAUUACGGAGUUUAAAAUUAGAAAGGUAGCAGUGGAGAUAAUGCUUUUUGGUUUACAUGUUUCAAUAGCAUUAAGAUAAACGUGUGUUGACGAUCUUGACAGGUUUCCUCCCCCCACCAGGCUAAGCAUCACUUAUUCAUGUAAAAUUUAUUUAUUUUUUCAUGUCUGACUUUAACCGCAUCUAAUACUGUAUUACGGCGUGAGCGCAACAGCGACAACUUAAGAUCGAUGUGUGUGCAGCGUGAGAGGUCGGGUGUUUUCAUCGGAACCCUUAAAACCUCCAGCAGGCUACGCAGCUCUAUUGACGCGUUAGCGCGCGGCGCUAACAACUUAGCGAUGUGACAUGUCUCGGAGAAAGCGUAAAAACACGUUGGACGCUUCUUCUGAAGCGGGAAAAUAACACCUCUCCUUAAGCAGAGCACGACGUCGCCUCGGCUCGUUCACAGCCGAGCCGGACUGAGCUCGAUAACAUUGACCCAGUACAGCCACUGGGUCGUUGGAGCUGCCCCGUGACUGCCUGAUGGAAAACCAGCGGGUUUCAUCAGACUCGUAAAGUUUCUUGUUUUUGCUGGGGACCCCCUGUAUUUUACCGCUCCAUUCUGCAGUCUUCCCCUAUUAAAAUUUAAAAUGAUUCUGUAAAUUCCGUGUAUCAAUAGAAAAGAUCUCUGCCUCUGCCAGCUGCAGUAAAUGUAGUCUCCAAAUAAUAAAUAAGAGGUGCAUUCAUCUGUGUAUCUCCUUUGAUCCGCAUUAGUGAUAUUCUCAGCACCAGAACAAUGAAGCAAAGAAAGAUUCCUGAGUUGGUUAGUAAUUUUAUUUAUUAGGUGCAUCUGACCCAUUCUACUUUUCUCUGAAAUGAGAUCAAAUCAGUGCUUCUAUGGUUUGUCUCCAAUCUGCACUAGAAUUUUUUACUUUAUUUAGAGACGUGUCAUAAUUUCUCCCCGGGUCUACCCACGCAACCUCUAGGACCGCCAUCUUGGUAAGGUCCGCACCCACCACUGGUGCUACCGCCACCUUGGCACCUUUACACAUUGCAAUUCUUAAAAAAAAAAAAUUCACUUCAGAUUUUUAAUCAUGUCUGAUGAAGAAUGUUUGCCCCUCCCCACUGUGGGCAGACAAGUUAUUGAUGCUGUGACAGGUGUUACCAGCAUGAAGGCUCAUGGUUUUGAUGACAUCCUGCAAAAUUAUUCAGCAGAACAUCUAGUUCAGCUGUUACUGACACAGGUGAAUAAUUUGCCCAAAGAAGGUGAGAAGGUUAAACCAACAGCCCGUACAGAGAACCUGGUAGGAUUUGCUGUUCUGCUAGCUCAACUCUGGGACAAAGAGUUUACUGCUCAUCUGGAGACACAAAGUACUCUGCACACACUUACUAACCAAAGGACAAGAGAAGGAGCCUGUGAUUCCGAUUCUGAUGAUGCAUACAUAUGUGCCUGCAGCUCAGCCACACCUUCUGGCUGCACAACAAUACCCUCCUGCUGCACCUGCCGGUGCUGCUGCGAUGGUCGUGCCAGCUUCCCAGCCAGCCCAACUGAACUCACCGGUGUCCAUGACUGACAUCUACAGGAUGUCCCGUAGUGUCAAGAAAUCCAACCCUCGACCAGGUAAUUCAUGCCCAGUUGACACCUACCUGAGUGACCUCCAGCAUCACUUUCAGCGAUGUCCGGGAAUGACCUUGGAAGACAAAAUCUUUUUAAUAAGGUUAACCUCCGAUGCCGUGGGUUCGUUCAUUGAUCGCCAGCGUAGUGCGAUUGCAAAUGAUUACACCAGGCUGGAAGCUGCAAAUAAAAAGGAGUACACCUAUGAUGCUAAGGAGGCUGGUAUAAAGUUAGCUUUGACAGUCAAACAGGGUCGCACUGAAGACCCACAAGCCUUCUAUCUACGCCUCUUUGAUGCGUACUUUGGUACGGAAUGUAAGGAGGGGAAGGAAGAUGAGAAAGGUUUCAAGGAAAUCUUCCUUGAGAAUCUACAUCCUCAGUACAGCCCCUACAUGGGUACAGGGGACACAAACACCACACCCAUGGAUGAGCUCAGAAGAAUGGCGAGUUGUGCCUUUAGACGGUUUGACAAAUCCAGUAAGAGUUUGCACGCUCCAUCAGUUCUGGUGGUGGGGGCAAGCCCCUCCUCGCUGCGACUCGAAGGGACUGCAUCAGGGACUCAUAAAAAUAAUAACUGCAACAACGGGUCUAAACAACAGGCCCAGAAAUCCAAUAACAACUCCAAGCCAAAAGGCUUUCCAAAUAACAAGCCUCAAAAUCCAAACAGACCCCGGACCCCUCCACCGGCUCGUGUUGGGGACCCUAAGUCACCACAACUCAGCCACGAUAAACAUCGUGUUUCUUAUAAAGAAAAGAGGGUUCAUCAUAUUCCUUCAGGAGAGAGUCGCGUCACUCAGGCGAGAGCCGCGCUCCUUCUGGCCGAAAUUCACCGCGUAGUGCUCGCAAUGACUACAGUCCUGCCCCAAGGCCGAGAACUGAUUCUAGGAGCCGAUCUCCUGGAAGAAUUCACGCCCUGGGUGCCGCACUUCUUGACCUGUUGAAAGAUUCGCCAGAACGUGAGUCGGUUCUGUGCAUCUCUGCAGUAGAACCUCCUCAACCUGCCUUUGGCUUGGUUGUGGAAGCAGGUCCUGCAGAGGCGGAGCCUGCCAACAACGGUGCAUACACCAACACCUGAGACCUCGGCGAGGUCUGGGGUGGUCGCUUCCGUCAGCGCUAGUCCUCUAGCACCCGCAGAACUUGCAACCGGACCUGGCCAACAUAGCUCACCGAUCAGACUUCCACGAAGGGUUCUCUGCAGUAUGAUCCGUAAAGGUCCUACUGAUAAACCUCAAAUUCCGGUGACCCUGGAGGGGGCGCUGGACUGUGAGGGUGUCUUGGACUCCGGUUCAGAUUUCACCAUGAUGCCCAGCUCUCUCUGGGAGCAGGUCCACAUGGCUGCAGCUGCAGGACUCACGCCCUGCGCUGUGGACAUCCAGCCGUACUCUUCAGGUGAAAUGUCCUUGCCAAAAGUGGUGUCCAUCAACUUCACAGUGGGAGACAUGUUCGUGAGCCAUCCAGUGUUUGUAACUAAUGUUGAAGCAUUUCCUUUCGUGUUGGGAGGGGAUCUGCGCCAAGGCUUAAAGGCUGUCAUUUCACUCGGUGAUUGGACUCCAAACUCGGUUGACUCAACCGACGCCUUUGGCGUCCCUUGAGCACCUCAUUACCUUUUCAGGCGGUGUUAACCACAAAAGCGCCGCCAGCCUGGUCGGUCAAUCCAGUACCAGUAAGGUCAGUGACAUCCAGAGAGUCUGCGUUAUCUCUGCAUCAGGACCACUCCACGCUGUGGUGGGGAAACCACCUACCCUAGUGGCAGUGGGUGGUUGCAGUGACACACCACCUGAGACUCCGCACCCUGCAGUGGGGACUCCACCUGCCAAAGGACAGGCUGAUGACAUCACUGACACUACAGCACUACAGUAGGUGCUGGUGACCUCUAACCCCGAGGGUGGUGACUCACCUACCAAAGGCGAGGUUGAAGGACGCCCUGUACAACUACUGUCUGACCCCGAUCUCCCUGACUGCACCUGCUCUUUGACCGAGGGCCCUCCAGAGUGCUUACCUGCGCUGAACCCUCGCAAGGCCGCGCAAGUCUACAUCCUAAACUGUCCUUGGUUUCCAAUUGCAGCUCAGACAAAGUAUGUUCUGUUAGUUGCGUGCUUUGGUCUGAUAACGACCGCAGCUGAGGUUCAUUCUCAGCCUCCUCUAAUGCGUCUGUAUGAACCUGGGCCCUCUUCGGGUAGCACACUACGAGACCGCCCAGGUCUACUAAUGACUAACUAUCGUCUACUUACAUAAAAGAUUUUCGUCAAAUUCAAGCCCGCUAUGGCGUGUACCGAUAAGAUGAUGAGUGCUUUCAGCAACCUCUCGGAAACGGGAGCCCGCUGGACUAGUACCCUGAUGCAGCAUGCUGAAGCUGGCAUCCGUCACAUGCUAUUCCAAGCACUUAAAUUCAUGGUUUCUAACAGUGAUCUUGCCAGUACCAGCAAUAGGCCAAAGCGUUUCCUAGACUGACUUUUCUCAGUUGCUAAUGCAAUAAGCAAUCUUUUAAAUUUUGGAUUCUCUUCAGUCAACUCGAUUGAGAUUAACACAAUUCGUCGACACGUCGAUGAGCUUAACAGAGAAAAUCCGGCUCUGCGUAAACAGGUACUGCAGCAGCGGCGUGCCUUGAGACAGCUGGACACGUCUGAAAAACAGACUAUGGUGGUACUCAACACUCAGCGACAUUUUGUGCAAAACAACUUCCGCUGUGAACGAAUUGCUUUCUUUUGUGGCUGUUGAUUAUGCUCAUACACAGAUGCUGACCACUUGCCUGUCAGACUACGGUCGGGACGUGAGCGCCUCGAUCGAUACCCUCCUCAUGGGGAGGAUCCCUCCGUACCUCGUGUCCCUGGCCAUGGUCCGGUCUGCGAUUGCUUGGGUGACAUUGAAGGACCCUAUGGCUCUUCAGACUCACUUGGCUUUCUCAUUGGGCAGUGCUAUCCCAUUAAGUGUCAAUCCAGAUGCUAGAGAGCUAGCUUUCAUCAUCAAUUUACCUAAUGUAUCCCCAGAUGACAUCUACAGAUUAAGAGAUGUGGUAAACGUAGGUAAUUGGGUUGACGACACUCACGUCAGGUUACAUAUGCCUCCGGUCGUCGCGUACCAUGAGGACACGCCACACGUCCGGUUAGUCCCGGACCUGCGCGUGUGUUCUCUCACACGUGGCCUACACUUCUUGUGUCCAGGUACACUUUUCUGCGUGGCAGUGCCACUGGUGUGUGUGGCAUUGAUGAGUUGUCGGAUGACUCCAAAUGUCCUAUGACUGUGACUCCACGUUCCAUGUGGUUCAAACUACUGCUGUUGUUGUUGGUGACCGUUGGUUGGUUAAUACCCCUGGUCGUGAAGCAGAUGUUUUCUAUGAGCGUCAUGGUGUGUCCACAUGAGUUGUGCUUCUGUCCCAGACCCUAUGGGUAACAGUUCCAUGUAGUGCUACAGUCCAUGUAGGUGAGGUCUCUCUAUAUUACUUGGAUCCUGUUGAGCAUAAGUCUGUUGUGGAGUUUUCUCCAUUCUUUGAUAACAUCUCCUUUGCUCUUUUUCCAGCUACGGUGGAUCGUGUUACAUUCAGUGGUCCAGCCAUGGUUUGGGUUGGUGCAGUGAACAAGGUGCUGCGUGAGUUGUCGGCAGAUCCCGGUCUCAGGUUUCAACCAGUGUCUUACUCCUGGUCCUCCGUUGGGGGUUAUCUUUCCUGUUCCGUCACUUCUCAACACAGAUGACUUCGCUAAGGGACUCGGUCCGCAACGUCGGUGGCCAUCUAUCUCGUGCCCUCGUGCCAGUUGUUCGCAAAAUGCCGGUUAUCCGCGAAGUGCCGGUUGUCCGCAAAGCCUCGGCCGUCCAGAUACCACAACCUGCACCGGUCGCUCCUCCACCUGCACCUCCUCCGGCACCUCCCGUGCCUUCAAUUAGGCCUUCCACCUCGCAAGUGGGGUGAUCCCUAUUUUCCGUCGUCAGUCCCAUGGUCCCCUGUUUCAGAUUAAACAAGUUUGUGUGUGUGCAUGCUGUCUUUCCUGUUUAUACAUGACGUGCCGACUUGGGUGAUUUGCGAUGAACAUGCUGUGGGUUCCUGAAGUCAGGUAAUCAGUAAGUUAACAGUAAAAGGGUUUAUUCCACAUAUUGCUGUUAUCCAAAUUUGUUUUUAUUUUCACUAAUCUUAAUUCCUUAUAGGUACAUUCACAUGUAGGUUGAUGACUAACUUCACUGAUUUACAUUUUUAGUGCUCUUUGACACUCAUAUCUACUAUUCUAUUGUUACCGUAUUUUCCGGACUAUAAGCCGCUACUUUUUUCCCACGCUUUGAACCAUGCGGCUUACAAUGAAGUGCGGCUUAACUGAAGAUUUUCCUUCACCUGCCAGGGGGCGCUUUAGCAGAAAGUGAAACAGAUGGAAGUCAAAAGUGGAAAUCGAAGAAAGUGCUCAUUUUAAUUUAGCACAUGCAAGCAACCGGCACAACGAAGAAUUUUUUUCAAAUCCAUACCCCCUUAUCAUGGUAACUACAUGUAUGAGUUCAUAUGAUGCCACAUUUAAGUUGAAGGCCAUCGAUCUGGCAGUAAAGGAGGGAAACAGUGCUGCCACACGUAAGCUUGGCAUGAAUGAAUGAAUCCAUGGUUCAGCGCUGGAGACGGCAGCGGGAAGAACUCAUUCAAGCCAGCUUCACCCGGGGAUGAUGACAGCAACACGGACAGCGACACUGAUAUCGCCACAGAAAAGGUAUGUGACGAAGCUCUUCUGAGGCUGUUCAACUCCCGACACUGAAGAAGAGGACUUUAAUGGCUUUAGUGCGCAAGAGGAAGAUGACAGCGAAUGCCUUUCUGGUAGGCACAUGUUUUAUUUACUAACCAGGCAUGUUUUGUGUGCAGUUUUUAUUUUCUAAUCAUCCAGGGCUUAUUAAUGCUGCGUCAGUGCUGUUCUUUUGUUCUAAACAUGCAAGCAAAUUACCGAUAAUAACGUGUCAGUUCUGUUUUUAUUUUAUAACCAUCCAGAAAUAUUAAUGCUAUCAUAGGGAUGCAACGAUACCACUUUUUUCCAAACUGAUACGAUACCGAUACUUGGAUCUGAGUACUCGUCGAUACCGAUACUUCUACCACACAAAAAAAUGCUAUGAUUUGGAAUACAGAUUUUAUUUUCUUCUCUGCUUUCAACAGGAAAAGACUGUGAGGUAGAUAAAAAGUAAAAUAUAUGAAUAGAAAUCAUCACAAAACUAAAAUAUUAGGUGAACAGAAAUAACAAGUUACAGUGAAGCCAUUUUCAAGUAACUGCAUUUGUAUCGGUUCCUGGUAUCGGUUAACUUUAACCGAUACAGAUACUGGUAUUGGUAUCGGUGCAGAUACCGAUACCAGUAUCAUACCGGUGCAUCCCUAUGCUAUCAGUGCAGUUUUCUUUUCUAAACUUGCAGGCGUGUUCACCCGUGUUUAAAAUUCGUUUUGUUGAAUUAAAACAACAACGAAAAACCUCCGUGUAGCGUCUUUUUGUCUAAUUAUCUUAUGUUAUGGCCAUACAUGCGCUGUGCGCCGGAGACCCGCAUGUGACUGCUGCGCCGCGGCUUGUAUUCGAGUGCGGCGUGUGUGUGUAGAAAACCUUUUUUUUGUUGGUGCGGCUUUUAUUGAGGUGUGCUCUAUAGUCCGGAAAUUACAGUAUUUAAGGUGAUAACUUUGAUUAACUUUGUUAAUUUACCAUUAUGGGCUACAACCAUUUUGCCCUUCAUUUUGAUAAAUUUUGCUUAGUAAAGUGAUUCUGUUUUUUUUUUCCCCCAUACACGCAGUAUAGGUUUUUAUUACUUUAUUCUUUUUACACCACUUUUUCCAGUACACGUAGUGUAUUGCAUCCAUUUCUUCACUUGGGCUCUGUUCACAUAAUUGCUACGCAUAGUACAUGCAGGAACACAUACUGACAGGUUUUGUAGCGACUUCCACAGUCACUGUAGAGGCAGAGAUUGGGCCCAGGUCUAUUUGUUUGACGCGCUGUCUGCUUUGAUUAAUUCACAGAGAGAUGGAAUGCUUUUGUCUAUUUUAUCGUUACAGAUUACUCUUAAUUCUUGUCAAAUCCUUAAACAUAACGUGACUAUAAACAGAGUAAAACAAACUGAAUUGUGAUGUGAUUAACUGAACAUUUGCAGUCAACAAAAACUACGGCUGCCCAGCCCUCCUCUAUCUGUCAAAAAUCACCAGGUGACAGAAUGACAGCUCCUUUUAAUUCUGACCGCCCACACCCAUGUGUCACCAUGACAACAAAAGGGGAAGUAAGAAUGAAAACCCCAAUAAUCAACUCACCCAAGAUAUACUAUGGCUCCUACAUGUUUCUUUUUCUUUAUUGGUUUACAUUAGACACCGUUUUGUUGUGUCUACAUUGAAGUGCCCUGUGCUAUGCUCUCUCUCCUCUGCUGAGUUUCGCUGAUGACCCUCGAUUCCUGGGGGUGGACCUAUGAUUCGUCAUCGGAUUCUACUCCUCCUGAGUGGUGUUCCGGCUCGUAGGACCUGGACAUCCGUGAUUCCGGCUAUUGCUGCUGGGAUACUUUGCUCGCUGGGACCUGACCUGUUUGCUGCUCGUCUCCCUCCUACUUGGGAUUACGUUAAGUAAAAUACAAAGAUCAAAGAUGCUGCUUCAAAUUAUUCCCUCCAAGUGGAUAUAUUAAUGAUUUGCUGACUUUUGAUUAAACGCCUUCAAAGGAUUUACCCCCUCAAAAGGAAAUUAGCCCCUGUUGGCCUCUGCCGGGGAAAUUACAUCAAGCAUACUUGACGGAGACCCUCCAGGCCUCUGUGUUCAAUGCCAGGUGGUCUCUGACGGACCACCGUGCCCUUGAAAAGGGGGGAUAUGUAGUGUGAUGAAUUGUCCAUCUUUGACCUAAAAGGUCCUACUCUAUUUGCUCUGCUCAAAGCAAAACCAGAAGUUUCUGACACAAACCUAAUCUACAAGGAUGGGUCAAAGCCGCUUAUGCUCUGUGCUUAUCUAAACUAUUGCUUCCCCGAACAGCACAAGAAAGACGAAAGAAGAACUCUUUUAGAAACAGAACUUUUCUUAUUAUUUAAUAAGUAAAUAAUGUCAUGCUGACCUGGCAGAGGUGACGCAGUCAACUGUCUCCUCCUCAUGCUGACUCUGCUGCACAGUGUCUGCACAUGAGCUGUGCAUGCAAUCUUCACACUGGCCAGAGGGGGCUUGUGAACUCUGGUGUGUGCUCCUCCAGGUGAGCCAAAUCAGGCAAUCAAGAGCUCACCACUAGUGGCUUCUUGAUGCAUACAGCAGUCAUUCAGCCAGUGUGUGACAAAACUGAGAUGGCAAGCAAACAAUUCAGCUGUGAGGAGGACUUUGAUCUUGACAGGCUAUCGGUUUUAGCCUGAUACUGAUACUGAUGCUGAUACUGGUCAAAUAAAGACAUAUCUGAG